AUCAUUCAAGUACUUUUUUGUGUUGUUUAACGCAAAAAUUGGUUGGACAUUGCUGGAAUAUUAUAGGUUUUAUGUAGACAUCUGUGAGCUAACGUCAUUAUUUGAGUCGUCGUCAAACAGAAGUAAUGGACAUCACGGUUCGGUAUAACGGGGUUAAAAGCAACAAAACCCAAAUGUAUAAGACUAUGUUUCUUGUCAUUUAUUUCCGCAGGUAGUAGUGGAAGCCACAGCUACGUCUUUAUAUGCUCUGGUUAGUUUGUUCCACCUAGUGUUAUACAGUUGCUAACGGUUUAUAGUUAAAGGGUUUCCCUGUGGUUCCGAAAUAUCAAUCCCAAGUAUAACUUUUAUUGCUGCCUUUUAGAGCCGCUAAAACUAGUGUGCAUUAGAUAUUAGCAAUGUUUUAUGUUUUAAAUAGCCAUAUAAUGACCUAGUUUUAAACAGCAAUAGAACUCAAAACAAAAUGCUAUGAUCAAACAAAUGCAUUUUGUUAAAAGUAGUCGGCACAAAUUAAUUCUUUGCAACUCUUCGCAAACUUUGCUAAAUGAACGUAUAGGCUACAACAAAGAAUUAAAACCAAUAGCCUUGCUAUUGUUAAUUAAAUAAAGACAUUAGCCUACAUUAAAUGUAUGUAUCUUUGCAUUCCAAGCUCGUUAAGUUUAAUAACUUGAAAAUACCCUUUCAUGUCCUGACCAUUUUAACUGUUAACACUUUCCACGGAAGGUUUGAAUAGCAUCAAUUAUGUUUGUUAAUUUCCCCCUUUGUUUACCCGCCAUUUUGGAGGGGUAGGUUGAUCAAAUUCGCAAAUCCACCCACAUUUGACGAGUAGCGGGUGCUAAUUUCCAUCCCUGACUAUUUGUAUAACAUGGUUGAUGUUUUUCAUUAGGAUCUUGUAAUGGUGUACAGAUAAGAGUAUAUCUGUCUGUGUGGGUAGUGCUUUGUCGUGAACAUGUUGCUUGUUAAUUGAGAGAUUUAAGUCUAACUAAGGAUGUGCACCAUUUUUUUUUAUGAGGUUUGGCAGAUUUGCAUUUCAUAUAACUUGCCAUGUGCCUCUGUCCCUUAUUCACAGAAAAGAGAAGACUUCCUUCUUCAAGAAAAUUUGCUUGGAGAUUCAUGUUGGUCUGGACAAGCCUGUUCCAGACUAAUUGUGACCUCUAUGCAAAUAAGUCUUCCCUUUUAAAUAAGUAAAAAAGAAGACUUCCUUUAUCAAGAUCUCCUUUAUCAAGACCUCCUUUAUCAAGACUUCCCACAUCAAGACUUCCCACAUCAAGACUUGGCGACCUCUUAUGUGUUUGGCGACCUCUUAUGUGUUUGGCGACCUCAUAUUCUUGGCGACCUUUUAUGUUCUUGGCGACCUCAAUUGUAGCUUGGCAACCUCAUAGUCUUGGCGACCUCAAUUGUAGCUUGGCGACCUCAUAGUCUUGGCGACCUCAAUUGUAGCUUGGCGACCUCAUAGUCUUGGCGACCUCAAUUUUAGCUUGGCGACCUCAUAGUCUUGGCGACCUCAAUUUUAGCUUGGCGACCUCAUAGUCUUGGCGACCUCUUAUUCUGAAUUAUCAUUCUGCAUUACCAUUGAUAUAAAUCAAUUCUCAGUGAUAUAAAGUUGCAACAGAACAUUUCUCAUUGCUAUUGAUAUUGUCUGUGUGUGACAGUGUGACAUACAUUUUCUGAACAGUGCUACAUCUAUUCUGAAGUUGAGAAGUUCACUACAUUUUGAAGUAGACAUUAAGUCAACAUUCUGUUUAUCAUUGGUGAUCAAGUACUGAAGUGUACAUUGACCUAGCUACUGUUGAGUGUAUUCUGAUUAUAUUUUUUCGUAAUUGUGUCCAGAUCUCCAUUCAUUUUUUUUACCCAAGUCCAGGUAUUCAUUGUGACCAUAAAAGAAUAUUGGGAAGCCAUUAAACCAUAAGUUAUAUUUGACUGAACAGUAGCCUAUUUUUAUAUAGAAUUGAAGUUGAAAUUAAAUAGUUUGACAAGGAACAGUAGUAUUGUUUGAGAAUACUGUAAAGAAUCAUACUGAAAAUAUUUGUACUGCAAGCAAUAAACUGCAUAAUACAUUCA